GACGAACGCUGGCGGCGUGCUUAACACAUGCAAGUCGAACGGUAAGGCCCUUUCGGGGGUACACGAGUGGCGAACGGGUGAGUAACACGUGGGGAACCUGCCCUUGACUCUGGGAUAACAGUGGGAAACUUCUGCUAAUACCGGAUAUUCAGAUUCUGCCGCAUGGUGGGGUUUGGAAAGCUUUUGUGGUCAAGGAUGGUCUCGCGGCCUAUCAGCUUGUUGGUGAGGUAAUGGCUCACCAAGGCGUCGACGGGUAGCCGGCCUGAGAGGGCGACCGGCCACAUUGGGACUGAGAUACGGCCCAGACUCCUACGGGAGGCAGCAGUGGGGAAUAUUGCACAAUGGGCGGAAGCCUGAUGCAGCAACGCCGCGUGCGGGAUGACGGCCUUCGGGUUGUAAACCGCUUUCAGUAGGGACGAAGCGCAAGUGACGGUACCUACAGAAGAAGCACCGGCUAACUACGUGCCAGCAGCCGCGGUAAUAC
rnacentral:rRNA from 1 species